AGCACGUUAUGGUGGGCACUCUAAGGAGACUGCCGGUGACAAACCGGAGGAAGGUGGGGAGUGACGGUCAAGUACAUCAUGGCCCUUACGGCCUGGGCUACACACGUGCUACAAUGGUCGGUACAAAGGGUUGCCAAGCCGCGAGGUGGAGCUAAUCCCAUAAAACCGAUACGUACGUCCGGAUCGCAGUCUGCAACUCGACUGCGUGAAGCUGGAAUCGCUAGUAAUCGCGCAUCAGCCAUGGCGCGGUGAAUACGUUCCCGGGCCUU
rnacentral:rRNA from 1 species